CCUACGGGCUGCACCAGUGGGGAAUAUUGCACAAUGGGCGCAAGUCUGAUGCAGCCAUGCCGCGUGUGUGAAGAAGGCCUUCGGGUUGUAAAGCACUUUCAGCGGGGAGGAAGGCGGUGAGGUUAAUAACCUCAUCGAUUGACGUUACCCGCAGAAGAAGCACCGGCUAACUCCGUGCCAGCAGCCGCGGUAAUACGGAGGGUGCAAGCGUUAAUCGGAAUUACUGGGCGUAAAGCGCACGCAGGCGGUCUGUCAAGUCGGAUGUGAAAUCCCCGGGCUCAACCUGGGAACUGCAUUCGAAACUGGCAGGCUAGAGUCUUGUAGAGGGGGUAGAAUUCCAGGUGUAGCGGUGAAAUGCGUAGAGAUCUGGAGGAAUACCGGUGGCGAAGGCGGCCCCCUGGACAGAGACUGACGCUCAGGUGCGAAAGCGUGGGGAGCAAACAGGAUUAGAUACCCCAGUA
rnacentral:rRNA from 1 species